UACAGAGGUCUCAAGCGUUGUUCGGAUUCAUUGGGCGUAAAGGGUGCGUAGGCUGCAUGGUAAGUCGGAUGUGAAAUCUUGGAGCUUAACUCCAAAACUGCAUUCGAUACUGCUGUGCUUGAAGACUGAAGAGGAGAUUGGAAUUCACGGUGUAGCAGUGAAAUGCGUAGAUAUCGUGAGGAAGACCAGUGGCGAAAGCGAAUCUCUAGGCAGAUCUUGACGCUGAUGCACGAAGGCCAGGGGAGCAAACGGG
rnacentral:rRNA from 1 species